rnacentral:rRNA from 1 species
UCCUGUGGUCCUCUCACCCUGAAUAUACCUGGUCAUGUCUGAUCUAGGAAGCUAAGUGGGGUUGGGCUUGGAUAGUACUUGGACGAGAGAACUAGAGGUU